rnacentral:lncRNA from 1 species
UAGCAUAACAAGUUAUGUCAGGAUAACCUUAUGUCAAAACGACAUCAAAAACUUUUAGAUCUGAAAUUUUUCUCUACAGAUUUUAGAUCUAAAUCUUAAUCUCAUGCGACAUGGCUCUGAUACCACUAUUGGAUUUUAUGGUUUCAUGCAUGCAAUUUUUUUUUAAAAUGAGUACGCAGUGAAAAUUUUAAAAACUUAGAUUAAAUCUAAUUUAAUCUAAAUACACAUAAGAUCAAAUCUUAAAACCAUAAAACAAUAUCGACAUAUAUGAGAUAAGAUUCAGAUAUAGAAAUCAAAUAGAGAAAAAUAAAUAGAGAAGAUCCAAUCUUCAUACAUUGGCA